rnacentral:rRNA from 1 species
AUUGAACGCUGGCGGCAUGCCUAACACAUGCAAGUCGAACGGCAGCACAGCCCGCAAGAGUGGGUGGCGAGUGGCGGACGGGUGAGGAAUACAUGGGAAUCUACCCUGUCGUGGGGAAUAACGUAGGGAAACUUACGCUAAUACCGCAUACGACCUCCGGGUGAAAGCGGCGGACCGCAAGGCGUCGCGCGACUGGAUGAGCCCAUGUCGGAUUAGCUAGUUGGCGGGGUAAAGGCCCACCAAGGCGACGAUCCGUAGCUGGUCUGAGAGGAUGAUCAGCCACACUGGAACUGAGACACGGUCCAGACUCCUACGGGAGGCAGCAGUGGGGAAUAUUGGACAAUGGGCGCAAGCCUGAUCCAGCAAUGCCGCGUGGGUGAAGAAGGCCUUCGGGUUGUAAAGCCCUUUUGUACGGGAAGAAAUCCUGUCGGUUAAUACCCGGCGGGGAUGACGGUACCGUAAGAAUAAGCACCGGCUAACUUCGUGCCAGCCGCCGCGGUAA